UUUAAAUUGUCCAUUGGUCCAACUUUCAAGAAUUUCUCCUGUAUUGAGAAGAAUUGCUCCUGGUAAAUGACCAACACGCCACCAACGCUCACCACUUGGACUUUGAAUUUCCAGGCCGCCCUCGCAGUCCUGAAAUUUAAUUUACGUAAAAUGUGAUGCCACCUACGCAAGAUGUUUUCUCCUCGUUUGGAAGAAAGAAAAAAAAAAGUGACAUGGAUCGUAAAUUCUUAUCGGCAUAUACAAAUAAACCUAGUGGCUUUUGAGAAAGAAAAAAAAAACAAACAUACCUGGAAUCUCUCUGAAUGGAGUUGAGAAAAUUGAAAGCUGCAGGGAAAUUUUUGAUGAAUAUUUGAAAGAAAAUCAAAAGACGGAUGAAAUAUAUACGAAAGGAUCGCGCACGGAGAUUGUAUACAACUUUUUAAGUAUUCAAGU